GAUGAACGCUGGCGGCGUGCCUCAUACAUGCAAGUCGAGCGAACAGACGAGGAGCUUGCUCCUCUGACGUUAGCGGCGGACGGGUGAGUAACACGUGGAUAACCUACCUAUAAGACUGGGAUAACUUCGGGAAACCGGAGCUAAUACCGGAUAAUAUAUUGAACCGCAUGGUUCAAUAGUGAAAGACGGUUUUGCUGUCACUUAUAGAUGGAUCCGCGCCGCAUUAGCUAGUUGGUAAGGUAACGGCUUACCAAGGCAACGAUGCGUAGCCGACCUGAGAGGGUGAUCGGCCACACUGGAACUGAGACACGGUCCAGACUCCUACGGGAGGCAGCAGUAGGGAAUCUUCCGCAAUGGGCGAAAGCUUGACGGAGCAACGCCGCGUGAGUGAUGAAGGUCUUCGGAUCGUAAAACUCUGUUAUUAGGGAAGAACAAAUGUGUAAGUAACUAUGCACGUCUUGACGGUACCUAAUCAGAAAGCCACGGCUAACUACGUG
rnacentral:rRNA from 1 species